UGACGGUACCUGACUAAGAAGCCCCGGCUAACUACGUGCCAGCAGCCGCGGUAAUACGUAGGGGGCAAGCGUUAUUCGGAUUUACUGGGUGUAAAGGGUGCGUAGGUGGUAUGGUAAGUCAGAAGUGAAAACCCGGGGCUCAACCCCGUGGAUUGCUUUUGAAACUAUCAAACUAGAGUACCGGAGAGGUAAGCGGAAUUCCUAGUGUAGCGGUGAAAUGCGUAGAUAUUAGGAGGAACACCAGUGGCGAAGGCGGCUUACUGGACUGUAACUGACGUUGAGGCUCGAAAGCGUGGGGAGCAAACAGGAUUAGAUACCCUG
rnacentral:rRNA from 1 species